rnacentral:lncRNA from 1 species
CUCCUCGGUUUUUUCUUUGUUGUUUAUCCGCUUAUGUUAGCCUGCGCUUUCCACCUAGACAGAAACAGAGAACAUGUUUCAGCCAACACAAAGCUCCUAUUUCCAGACUUGCUGUUUUUGGAGCACUGUCACCCCCUUACAGUGAGCAGAUGGGAGCUCUCUUUUGCAAGUACUGUACUGAGAACAGGAAGUCACCGCAUGUCCUCACAGCAGCACGGCGAGGGGUCCUGCAAAAGCACAUCCAGAUAUUAAUAAAUAAAAAUGGACAGAAAGUUAACAGUGAGACAAGGAGAAAUGGCUGCAAGAGGCUCACAAGACAGGACAGUGUCAUUCUGAGCAUUACGGGACUUUCUGAGCAGUGCAUUAAUCAGCUCCCUCCGUGACAGUUUCCACAUUAGCAGCCUCUAUUCACGCUGGCUCCCGAAGAGUAUGACUUCUGACCGCUUCUUCUUUCAAGUUUGCUCUAAUCAAGAAGCCAGUAAGUGAAUCAAGCCCGUGUUUUUAAUGCCCACUCCCACAAUCCUUUUCUGAGCAAACGUGUAAUUUUACUGCUCUCAAUCCCAUCCUUCCUGCCUCUCCAUCUUAUUUCCAGUAUUUUGUUUGCCCCCUCCUCUU